rnacentral:rRNA from 1 species
ACGCUGGCGGCAGGCCUAGCACAUGCAAGUCGAGCGGUAGAGAGGAGCUUGCUUCUCUUGAGAGCGGCGGACGGGUGAGUAAUGCCUAGGAAUCUGCCUGGUAGUGGGGGAUAACGUUCGGAAACGGACGCUAAUACCGCAUACGUCCUACGGGAGAUAGCAGGGGACCUUCGGGCCUUGCGCUAUCAGAUGAGCCUAGGUCGGAUUAGCUAGUUGGUGGGGUAAUGGCUCACCAAGGCGACGAUCCGUAACUGGUCUGAGAGGAUGAUCAGUCACACUGGAACUGAGACACGGUCCAGACUCCUACGGGAGGCAGCAGUGGGGAAUAUUGGACAAUGGGCGAAAGCCUGAUCCAGCCAUGCCGCGUGUGUGAAGAAGGUCUUCGGAUUGUAAAGCACUUUAAGUUGGGAGGAAGGGUUGUAGAUUAAUACUCUGCAAUUUUGACGUUACCGACAGAAUAAGCACCGGCUAACUCUGUGCCAGCAGCCGCGGUAAUACAGAGGGUGCAAGCGUUAAUCGGAAUUACUGGGCGUAAAGCGCGCGUAGGUGGUUAGUUAAGUUGGAUGUGAAAUCUCCGGGCUCAACCUGGGAACUGCAUUCAAAACUGACUGACUAGAGUAUGGUAGGGGUGGUGGAAUUUCCUGUGUAGCGGUGAAGUGCGUAGAUAUAGGAAGGAACACCAGUGGCGAAGGCGACCACCUGGACUGAUACUGACACUGAGGUGCGAAAGCGUGGGGAGCAAAC